rnacentral:lncRNA from 1 species
UGAAAUUUCUUCUUAGGAAUGCCCCCUUUUGGUCCUAACUUGAUCCCUUUUCCACCGGAUGACCCAGCUUUGGUUUUGUAGUUCUUACUACCUUGACCGUGUUCAACAAUAUUGGCCUUAGCCGCACCAGGAUUGAAUCACUUCUUUUCGAAACUCUUGUUGUCUUCUUCAAUUCGAAGUCUAACAAUCAGUUCUUCAACGUUCAUUUCCUUUCGCUUGUGUUUCAGAUAAUUCUUGAAAUCUUUCCACGUGGGAGGUAAUUUUUCAAUGAUUGUAGCCACUUGGAAAGUUUCACUCAGAAUCAUCCCU